rnacentral:rRNA from 1 species
GUGGGGGCGGGGGCGGCGUGCCUAUACAUGCAGUCGAGCGGACAGAAGGGAGCUUGCUCCCGGAUGUUAGCGGCGGACGGGUGAGUAACACGUGGGUAACCUGCCUGUAAGACUGGGAUAACUCCGGGAAACCGGAGCUAAUACCGGAUAGUUCCUUGAACCGCAUGGUUCAAGGAUGAAAGACGGUUUCGGCUGUCACUUACAGAUGGACCCGCGGCGCAUUAGCUAGUUGGUGGGGUAAUGGCUCACCAAGGCGACGAUGCGUAGCCGACCUGAGAGGGUGAUCGGCCACACUGGGACUGAGACACGGCCCAGACUCCUACGGGAGGCAGCAGUAGGGAAUCUUCCGCAAUGGACGAAAGUCUGACGGAGCAACGCCGCGUGAGUGAUGAAGGUUUUCGGAUCGUAAAGCUCUGUUGUUAGGGAAGAACAAGUGCGAGAGUAACUGCUCGCACCUUGACGGUACCUAACCAGAAAGCCACGGCUAACUACGUGCCAGCAGCCGCGGUAAUACGUAGGUGGCAAGCGUUGUCCGGAAUUAUUGGGCGUAAAGGGCUCGCAGGCGGUUUCUUAAGUCUGAUGUGAAAGCCCCCGGCUCAACCGGGGAGGGUCAUUGGAAACUGGGAAACUUGAGUGCAGAAGAGGAGAGUGGAAUUCCACGUGUAGCGGUGAAAUGCGUAGAGAUGUGGAGGAACACCAGUGGCGAAGCGACUCUCUGGUCUGUAACUGACGCUGAGGAGCGAAAGCGUGGGGAGCGAACAGGAUUAAUACCCUGGUAGUCCACGCCGUAACGAUGAGUGCUAAGUGUUAGGGGGUUUCCGCCCCUUAGUGCUGCAGCUAACGCAUUAAGCACUCCGCCUGGGGAAGUACGGUCGCAACUAGACUCACGAGAAUUUUUGGGGGGGGAAAAAAAA